AUUUCAAAAUUCAAUUUUAAAAAAAAUUAUAAAGACUUAAUUAUAAAUUUGGUGGAACUAUCAUAAUAAUUAAACCUUAUUAAAUUAUCUUGUUAAUUGUAUUCUGAUUUCUGGUUGUGUUCAAUUUUGUAUUUUCAUGUCUUUGCUCGCUUCUCCUUCAUUCUGUUUAUGUGAAGUAAUAGUUUCAUGUCUUAAUCAUUUUAUUAUCCCAGAAGUAAAAAUUCCUAGAGCAACACUUCAAAUUCUUUUUGAUAAGCAUGAAUCAGUUAUCUCUGAAUCGGGAAGCUGUAAUUGUUCUUUAAUCAAUUUCAGACUGUUCAUUUAGAUGUUCUGAUGAUGAGGUACUUGAUUGUAAGUUUGUAACAAAUAUGAAUGCAGUGUAAAAAUUAAAGCUGAUAUGAAUUAAAAAUAUAAUUUUGUUAAUUAGAUUUUUGAAAAUUGAAUAAAGAAAGUGCACAAAACCUAAUUUAGGGAUAAGUAAUAAGUUGAAAUUUAAAUGAUUUUUUUAUGACUGAUUAAAAAUUAUUAAAUUAUAACAAAAGAGAAGCGUGAGGAGCACGGCGCCAAAGAGUUUUAUGGAAAAACGAAAUACACGAAGAACCCCAAAAAAUAAAAUAAAAUAAAACAAAAAAAUAAUUAAAUAAAUAAGAAAAACGAAAUACACGAGCGAAGGUGCGGGGGGAUGAUAGUGUGUUUUUUUGUUACUGUAGCUCGAAAUUCGUGGCGACUAUUUCUUUUCAAAAAAUAAUUGUAUUUUUCAAUUCAAAAAUCCCAUUUUCGAGAAACCUUUUAUGAAUUAUAGGGGUCUUAUUGCAAAAUGAGGCGUGAUCACUACGGUACAACGAGUUUUUUUAUGGCUAUAACACAAUGAACUUUAUUUUAUUUGUCGCGUAUAGUGAACGUAGAUAAAAUACUCGAUAGAGGGGAUGCGGUUUCGUGACAGAUAAUGGUACCACGUGAGUGUUAGAAGUUGGAUUGAUUCACUUCUUCAUGGCCUAAAAAACAAAGUGGGUUAUCCUUGUGGAUAUACGCCUAGAAUUGUAGUGGACCCCAUAUCUCAAUAUGACAGUUAUGCUCUUUACGUUCCAUUUAGAACAUGGCAACCCUUCUCAAUUUGUUUGAUACAUAAUUCUUUAUUAGCUUGCUGAUUGGAGCUUGGAUCCUGGAUCCAACCAGAUAAUCCUCUCUUUUUUUAGAGUCAAUAAUAUAUCUGAAAGACUCGAGCACUGCAUCCUCAAGUAUUUAACUUAAUAUUUUAAUAUAUGUUUGAAAAAUAUGUAGCUAUUAUGUGUAAGAGAUUGAUUAUUGGUGAAAGAGUAGACUGUUGUCUAUUGUUGUCACAAUGUUUGAAUAAGUGGUGUCUUAAUCGUGAGUUGGAACUCAUUGAUCGUUCUCAUGCUUACAG